AUUGAACGCUAGCGGGAUGCUUUACACAUGCAAGUCGAACGGCAGCGCGGACUUCGGUCUGGCGGCGAGUGGCGAACGGGUGAGUAAUGUAUCGGAACGUGCCCAGUAGCGGGGGAUAACUACGCGAAAGCGUAGCUAAUACCGCAUACGCCCUACGGGGGAAAGCAGGGGAUCGUAAGACCUUGCACUAUUUGAGCGGCCGAUAUCGGAUUAGCUAGUUGGUGAGGUAACGGCUCACCAAGGCGACGAUCCGUAGCUGGUUUGAGAGGAAGACCAGCCACACGGGGUCUGAGGCACGGCCCCGACUCUUGCGGGGGGCCGCAGUGGGGAAUUUUGCACGAUGGGGGAGAGCCUGAUCCAGCCAUCCCGCGUAAGCGAUGACGGCCUUCGGGUUGUAAAGCGAUUUUGGCAGGAAAGAAACGUCGCGGGCUAAUACCCCGUGGAACUGACGGUACCUGCAGAAUAAGCACCGGCUAACUACGUG
rnacentral:rRNA from 1 species